rnacentral:lncRNA from 1 species
AACAAGUCCCGUCAGCUGUAAUGACUUUAUAUUCCAAUAGGGGGAGCCUACUGUAUACAAUAGGGGGCGCCUACUGUUGAUUUCAUAUCUGUCUAAAUGAACUUUGUAUGUGUGUGUCGUGUGUGUCAUGUCAUGUCGUGUGUUCCAGAUGUCUCAGCGUCUGAGAGAGAUGUGUGUGGUGUUUGCAGGGCCGUUGCCUAGCGACUACACAGAGAGGGAUGUGAGGAGGCUGUUCAGGAGCUGUGGAAAAGUACGGGCUGUCAGGCUGCUGGAUGCUACUCAGAGGGUACGUGACCAAAUAUAAGAAGCCAUAAAGCGUCACAGUGGUGCUGCUGUAGAGAUGCUCAACGGAACACUGCUACACACCCGACACAUCCUCAAGGUCCAGAGACCUGUAAAGGAGUCCAUGCUGGAUCUGGACGUCUUCCUGAGUUGCCUGCAGGAUGACCCGCUAAAUGCUAACGUCAUCUACGCCGCAGGGCUAAAGGCUAAUGCUAAAACAGCACGGCUUGCAGCCAAAAUCAAUGGGACUGGGCUAAAUGCUAACGCAGCAGCUAAAGUCAAUGGCACUGGGCUAAAUGCUAACAUAGCAGCACUCCCAGCUAAGGUCAAUAGAGCUAGGCUACACGCUAAAGCGAACCAUUCAGGGCUCUUAGAGAAAGUCAAUGGAACUUUUCUAAAUGCUAAAGCUAAGCUAGCUGAAGCGAAUGGACCUGGGCUACAUGCUAAAGCUAAAUUUGCUAAGCUAGUAGAGCUCUCAGCUGAAGUCAAUGGCACUCUGCUCAAAGCGAAAACUAUGUUAGCAGAGAUAGCAGCCGAAGCCAAUGUUGGAGCGAGGCUACAUGCUAAGACUGCCGGACUCUGUGAAGAGGACCUCUGCAAGGCCUUCGGACAGUACGGAACGGUUCAGGGGGUAAUUCUACCUGCAAAGCACUCUGGAAAACAGAAACGUAGGAGACAUGCUUUCUUAAAGUAUGAUAGUCCUGACACUGUGGACGCGGUCCUCAGCUCACCUGUGGAACUCUGGGACAGGAAGGUGAGCACUCGCAGAGCCCUGACUCCACCCCACCUGCGCUCCUGGGUUACUAUGAUGACGACGACUGGGUCUGACAGAGAGACACCGGACGAGUCGUCACAGCAAACUGGAAGAGAGGAACAGGAAGUGGCGUGUGUGAUGAGGAAGUUGGACCGGCGCGUGGGGAAGCUGUUCAGAUCUCUACCUGACAACACCCUCAGCAUCGUACUGCUACCUGGUCACAACAGUUCCCAUGGCGAUGGUCUGUGUUUCCUGGAGGUCAAACAGGGGUCAGCAGCACUCAGUGACCAUGCCCACAACCUGAUGCUACCUGCAUAGGGUUGCAAAAAUCCAGUACCUUCCCAAGAUUCCCAGAAAUCCUGGUUGGAGGAUUCUGGAUUUCUUGCUUAUUCCCUCCUGAUUUCAUGAAUCUUCCAAAUGGGAAAGUUAACAGAUUUUAGCAACACUUCGCCUGCGAUACCGUGUUUUACCAUCUUUGUGUUCUGUAGCCCAGGAGUGCUGCAACUUGUCUAACAUAGAGAGCUAUAGGCUACGAGAAUAUGAAGUUAUUUUUAAAUAAAAAGAGCUGUCUACUUACGAGUGCUCGAUAUGUUUCAUUCAGUACAGGCUGGACAGGGUUUUGUACACAGGCAACGAAUUGAAGGCAAAACACAGGAUGUGCCUGAAAUGACACCCUAUUCCCUAUGUAGUGUGCACUAUGGGCACCCUAUUCCCUAUGUAGUGUGCACUAUGGGCACCCUAUUCCCUAUGUAGUGUGCACUAUGGCACGCCAUGGGUCCUGGCAAAACCCUCUACAGGGAUUAUUAGGAUGCCAUUUUGGACGUAAACUCAGUGUGUUUGACCUGUAUUACUGCCUCUGAUCUGAAUCACAUGAUGCCUUGUGUUGUCUUUAUCAUGUCCACCUAAUAAAC